AAACCUUGAUAUGGACAAAUCCUCAUCAUAUCCUUGUAUCUCUCCCACGCUUCAAAAAGUGAUUCGUUGUCUUUUUGUUUAAGCCCAUUUAUUUGGGCUCUUAGCAU